rnacentral:rRNA from 1 species
GACAGAGGGUGCAAACGUUGUUCGGAAUUACUGGGCGUAAAGCGCGUGUAGGCGGCAAUACAAGUCGGAUGUGAAAUCCCGCGGCUCAACCGUGGAAGUGCACCCGAAACUGUAUCGCUAGAGUCCCGGAGAGGAUGGUGGAAUACUUGGUGUAGAGGUGAAAUUCGUAGAUAUCAAGUGGAACACCGGUGGCGAAGGCGGCCAUCUGGGCGGUGACUGACGCUGAGACGCGAAAGCGUGGGUAGCAAACAGG